UACGUAGGGGGCGAGCGUUGUCCGGAAUUAUUGGGCGUAAAGAGCGUGUAGGCGGUUCGGUAAGUCUGCCGUGAAAACCUGGGGCUCAACCCUGGGCGUGCGGUGGAUACUGCCGGGCUAGAGGGUGGUAGAGGCGAGUGGAACUCCUGGUGUAGCGGUGGAAUGCGCAGAUAUCAGGAAGAACACCAACGGCGAAGGCAGCUCGCUAGGACGGUACUGACGCUGAGACGCGAAAGCGUGGGGAGCGAACAGG
rnacentral:rRNA from 1 species